AUUUAUAUAACAUAAACACGCUUUUAUAACCUUCAUUCGCCAUUCAGUCAUAAAGAUUAAAAUGAAACAGACAAUAUUUUCUUGGUUCUUAUUUUUAUUACAGGGUUAGAAAUGAAACCAAGCGGGUGCCCACCUGGUAAACCUGAGGCGAACUGCCUUGUUAAUCCGUGUGAUGAUGCAACAUGUACACAGAAUCCAAAUGCUACAUGCACCCCCGAUUACUGUGGUGGCUGUAAUACAAUAUGGAAAGACGGAAAUCAGAUGGUUCCUCAAUGUAACACAAGUAACUAGUUAAACAGUGAACAAUUGAAAUAAAUGAAAUUCUUUCAUUUUA
rnacentral:lncRNA from 1 species